GUGUAUUAAGUAGUUUUGAGAUGUUUUCCUAACUUGUGCAUGGCUAGCCAAGGAUCUGCUUGAAUAUAAAUAGCAUCACACACUGGGAGAUUGUACUCGAUCUAAUAUUUACCCAUCUUGUGCACGAAGAAGUGGGACAAGGUCACUGGGAAAUGUAACCUAAGAAGUGGCCAUUUCAGCAGGGGUCAUUAAACUCUGUUCUGAAAUACUGCUGUCACUGGGAGUGUCCAGAUACGAAGAGCUGUGCCAGUUGGAAGAAGGGGAAAUUUGGGCACAGACAUAAACAUGAACAGAGGGAAGACCAUGUGAAGAGACAGGGAGAAGAUGGCUACCUAUCAUCCAAGGAAAGAGGCCUGGAUUCUUCCCUCACAGUCCUCAGAAGGAAGCAACCCCACUGAUACCUUGAUCUGGAUCUUCUAGCCUCCAGAACUAU